rnacentral:rRNA from 1 species
CACGUAGGUGGACUUAUAAGUCAGAUGUGAAAUCUCGGGGCUCAACCUCGAAACUGCGUCUGAAACUGCAAGUCUAGAAUCUUGGAGGGGGCAGGGGAAUUUCACAUGUAGGGGUAAAAUCCGUAGAUAUGUGAAGGAACACCAGAGGCGAAGGCGCCUGCCUGGACAAGUAUUGACACUGAGGUGCGAAAGCGUGGGGAUCAAACA